AUUACAGCCAAUGGUGUUUUUCACAUGAACAGAUUGGUAGCGGCGCAUAUGUCAAAAUUUGACAAUUACGCACGAGAGAGUUUUAUUUAAAUAUCUCACAGUUUGUUAUUAAACCAUACCAUUGAAAAAUGGUACCGACACGGCAUAUUGUGGUAAAUAAGCAGAUGAAAAUGGCACUUGCCAACUGCCACAAUGAAUUGAAACUUGCUUAUCCCCAAGCAUCCUCCCGAGAACUUGAAUUCAAGCUUGUAAAAAUCUUUUCAGUAUGUAGUUAUUCUUAUACCAUGGAAAGAGAGUACUAUACUAUGAGAGUAACGUAUCGACAUUCGGAACUUUUUUCAUGUUAUUACAACAUGGUGUACAACAUUGUCUUUUCAAGUUUUAUACCCACUCUUUAUAUCCUACACAAUACAACUAAAUGUCCCUCAUUAAAUUCAAGCACUGCAUACUUUCCCUGUAAACUUAUCAUUAAUUCCUAUCCUUUCCAUAGUGUUCUCGAUGUCAAGCCCACAAAAUUAUAACCCAACACCAAUCUGGAGAACCGUUACAAGAAGCAAAGUGGAAACCAAAACAAAAAUCGCAGUGGUAUUCAAAUUUGGAACUUAAAGAAGAUCUAACCUACCGUAUAUUUGACAAAAACAAAAAAAAUGAGUUUUUUACUCUUCAGGAUUUGUUUAUUUUUGCGAAAGAACAUCCAGAAUAUACAGCAAGUUUAAAUACUUUACGUUGAGUAUUAAAAUCCAUGGGAUUCAGAUUUAAGAAAGUUAACAACAGAAAAAUAAUUGCUUUUUGGUUAUUUGGUCUAUGUGUUCCCAAUGUUUCUAACCACUCCUGUAACAGUAAGUUUAAAUAAGCCGUCAAAUUAUUUUCAACAUACCUAUUAUUUUAGCCUCUGAAUUUUGUGAAGUUACAUUUUGUUCAUUAUUACCACUAAAAUCGUCAGGAUGGAGGAGCAUAGCCAGACCUAUCGCCUUCAACCAAAUCCCUUGUACAUUUUGUAAAUAAUAAGUAGUACCAAAUAUUAGAGUUAUUAAACAUAACAUUAAAGACUUGUUGGUGUCCCAUUUUUUUGAUGAAAAAUUGGUCAUCCAUUGCAACUAAUUAAGGUGAUCUACCCAUUAUAGACAAUUUUGGUGUUGCUCGCGAGAUUGAUCAUUUCAGUCGAGAGAGCUGAUCCUUCGAGUCAUAGUUAGCCACACAUAUAAUUAUCACGUAUACUCAUGUACAAUAAUUUAAACAAAUUCUGAAUAUCUCAGUUAUUCCCCAUCUGUAAAGUAAUUUUUAUGAAGCAGCAACAAUAAAUAAAUCAAUUCACCUUGUUUUUUUACCAGCCCAAUAUUUGAUUUCAUUCGUGACCACAAUAUUUUUGGGUUCAUUUUAUCGUAAUUCGUAAACGUAUCGACUGCAAGUCUAAAUUACAGCAGGUGGCAUUCUUUCUACAGAUGAAAGAUAAAACACGUUUCUAUUUAUCGUUGCUCUUGUAUUAUAAUUACCAUGAAGACUCAGGUUAUCCUGU